GAAAUCAUUACAUAUAGAAAAUUUUUAGGGUUUUCUAAUUCAUUUCCCCUUUCCCUUCUUACUCUAUCUAGCCUCUGAUGUCACCGUCUGCCUUGUUCAGCCGCCAAUUCCUCAUUCUUCUUCUCUGGGUGAUAAAUACGGUGCCAUGGCAACUGAAUGUAACUUCUUUAUCAGCUUGCAGAAUUCUCCGGUGGAUGAAAAGAAUAACACAUUUUUGUACUUCGUUGAAUGGUCUAAUAGACUUAAUGUGGUUGCUUUUUCUGAAUGCAACUGGUAUGAAGAUACUGGGAUGCUUCGAACAACAAGUGUUCAGAAAAUAACCAUUUUCCAGGUUAUCCAAAUCUGAAAUGACGUAGGGACCCUUCUUUUUUGCUGCGAGUCUAAUUUAUAGUCUAUUGUAGAAUAGGCUAAGUAAUAUUGCUUUAUUUUUGUGGCCUUGCAUGACUUGUACAUUGAUGAUUAUGACCUAUUUAAGCAUUAGCCUCUUCAGCCCCUCA